UACGUAGGUGGCAAGCGUUGUCCGGAUUUACUGGGCGUAAAGGGCGCGUAGGCGGCCACCGCAAGUCGACUGUGAAAUCUCCGGGCUUAACUCGGAACGGUCAACUGAUACUGCGCGGCUAGAGUGCAGAAGGGGCAACUGGAAUUCUCGGUGUAGCGGUGAAAUGCGUAGAUAUCGAGAGGAACACCUGCGGCGAAGGCGGGUUGCUGGGCUGACACUGACGCUGAUGCGCGAAAGCCAGGGGAGCGAACGGG
rnacentral:rRNA from 1 species